rnacentral:rRNA from 1 species
UACGGAGGAUCCAAGCGUUAUCCGGAUUCAUUGGGUUUAAAGGGUGCGUAGGCGGACUUUUAAGUCAGUGGUGAAAGCCUUGAGCUCAACUCGAGAACUGCCAUUGAUACUAUUAGUCUUGAAUUUAGUUGAGGUAAGCGGAAUGUGUCAUGUAGCGGUGAAAUGCAUAGAUAUGACACAGAACACCCAUUGCGAAGGCAGCUUACUAAACUAAUAUUGACGCUGAGGCACGAAAGCGUGGGGAGCGAACAGG